rnacentral:rRNA from 1 species
UACCAACCUUUCCCGUUAUUGCGGAUUAACCUUCCGGAAGGCCAGACUAUACCGCAUGUUCUUCGAUGACGCAUCAGGAUUCGAGCCAAGGACCCGUCCGUUAACGGAGGGGGAUGCGUCUGAUUAGCUGGUUGGCGGGGCGACGGCCCACCAAGGCGACGAUCAGUAGGGGUUCUGAGAGGAAGGUCCCCCACAUUGGAACUGAGACACGGUCCAAACUCCUACGGGAGGCAGCAGUGAGGAAUAUUGGUCAAUGGGCGGAAGCCUGAACCAGCCAAGUAGCGUGCAGGAGGACGGCCCUACGGGUUGUAAACUGCUUUUAUGCGGGGAUAAAGUGAGGGACGCGUCCCUUUUUGCAGUACCGCAUGAAU